CCUACGGGAGGCAGCAGUGGGGAAUAUUGGGCAAUGGGCGCAAGCCUGACCCAGCAACGCCGCGUGAAGGAAGAAGGCUUUCGGGUUGUAAACUUCUUUUAAGAGGGAAGAGCAGAAGACUGUACCUCUUGAAUAAGCCACGGCUAACUACGUGCCAGCAGCCGCGGUAAUACGUAGGUGGCAAGCGUUGUCCGGAUUUACUGGGUGUAAAGGGCGUGCAGCCGGGAAGACAAGUCAGAUGUGAAAGCCCGCGGCUCAACCGCGGAACUGCAUUUGAAACUGUUUUUCUUGAGUACCGGAGAGGUCAUCGGAAUUCCUUGUGUAGCGGUGAAAUGCGUAGAUAUAAGGAAGAACACCAGUGGCGAAGGCGGAUGACUGGACGGCAACUGACGGUGAGGCGCGAAAGCGUGGGGAGCAAACAGGAUUAGAUACCCGUGUAGUC
rnacentral:rRNA from 1 species